AAUAACAUUUUAAACAAAUUUUAAAAAUAGUUUUAUUUUGAAUUCGAUUACUUAGGAUAUUUUUAAAGAAACAAAAAUGAAUUUUAAAACUUUAUUCUUUGCUUGUUUUGCUAUAUUAAUGAUAUUUCAAUAUGGGAAAUCUGAUGAUGAUUUUUAUCAGAGAUGUUCGAUGAAUAAAGACGGCCUAUUUUUCAAUUGCGUCAGAUCAGACAGAACUAAAGGAGUCAACUGCAAUGUAAGAAAAUCUUCGGGAAAUAAUACGAUUCAAGGAUUCCCUACUAUGCAAGAAGCUCUCAAAGCGUUAGGCAUGCUUACAUGAAUAUCUUUAAUCAAAAAUUUUAGAACAAUCAAAGAAUUAUCAUUUACAUAUGGAAAAAUUUAUUUAUUACACUGGUCAACUAUUGUAUAUAUUAUUUACCAUUCUUGAUUUUAUAUAAUUAUAGGCUAAAAAAAAUUAGUUAAAUUAUUAAUAGUAUAUUCACUCCUCGGCAACUCUCUGAAUC